UUUGAAAACGAAUUUUAUUUUUUUUUGAAUGUGUUAUUUAUUUUAUUUUUUAAUUGCUAGGUGCUGUUUGAAGAUCCCGACUUUCCUUUCCGUGACUCGGACGAUGAUUUAAUAGAUGAAGUUGAUCAAAUCUUUAUGGAAAAUCCUAUGGUUCUGCCCCUGUAUUACCAUGUGGGUUCCGGAUUUGAGACUUCUUCAUCAUCAGCUCGGGGUCCUAUGUAUAUGGCCGGUUCCGACGAACAUUCGAUCGAUGAGGCGAUUGUGCUGACAGAAAAAUCUCGUCGUAGGAACCAUAAGUACAAGGCCGAGGAGAUUACCUUCCGAGCCAGUAUAGA